GACGAACGCUGGCGGCGUGCCUAACACAUGCAAGUCGAGCGGAGUCAGUAAGAGGAAGUUUUCGGAUGGAAUCUUAUUGAUUUAGCGGCGGACGGGUGAGUAACGCGUGAGCGACCAACCUUGCACAGGGGGAUAACGGACCGAAAGGUUCACUAAUACCGCAUGAGACCACGGUGUUGCAUGACACAGAGGUCAAAGGAGCAAUCCGGUGCAAGACGGGCUCGCGUCCGAUUAGGUAGUUGGAGGGGUAACGGCCCACCAAGCCUAUGAUCGGUAGCCGACCUGAGAGGGUGAUCGGCCACAUUGGGACUGAGAUACGGUCCAAACUCCUACGGGAGGCAGCAGUGGGGAAUAUUGGGCAAUGGGGGAAACCCUGGACCCAGCAACGCCGCGUGAAGGAAGAAGGUUUUCGGAUUGUAAACUUCUGUCCUUGGUGAAGAGAAGAAGACGGUAGCCAAGGAGGAAGCCCCGGCUAACUACGUG
rnacentral:rRNA from 1 species